AAUGUCGAAACUAGGUCAAUAAAAUUCUCUGAUUAAAAAACCUAUUUUAAAAAUUAGAAAAAUGCUAUGAUAUUUUACGAGUCGUAUUCAGUAUAACGAUACUGGGUUUGAAAUUUAAAUAAUAAAUAAAACCCACAAAUUGAUCAAAAUAAUUUCAAUGCUUUCAAGUUCAUAACUCAAAAUUGUCAUUAAAAAUCGGGUAAGUAAAAUAAAUGCGGAUUUGUA
ensembl:ncRNA F12F6.16 ncRNA